CCAGUAUGAGGCGGGCGGACCUGGUAGGCAGCAGCAGAAGGAAGGCCUCACCCAUUGCCCCUGCCCUUCUGCCUGGCUGGUGCCCAGAGGGAAGACAGGAAAAUGGGGCCUAGAGCCUGCCUUUCUUUCUGAGCCCUGAGUAGGCUCAUCCUGGCUCUGGAGCCCAAUGGAGCCAGAUGGCUGCACUCAGGUGGAAGUCAGAGAUGGCCAACAGCAACCCCCCAGCAUGCUCACAGCAAAGGAAAGCAGGGCCUGCCUAAUGAAGAGGUUUGCAGCCCCCUUGUUCCCAGCAUGGCUGGCUGGUCUGAAGGCUGAAGUGUCAGUUUUGUGUUUGGAAAUAGGAGCUUCCCUCAACCUUGGCUUUCUGGCCUCUCUUUAGAGCCUGGGGAUCGAGUGGCCCCCUUUCUAGCUGUGAGCCUGAGGUUGAGGAUUCCUGGGAGUGUAAGGGCCUGGGCUGAGUUUGGGACCGGCUCCUGAAAGCCUUUGAAAAGAUUUUACACUCCCCAAAAUGAAACAAUGAAGACAGAAGGUGAAAUCAAGGCGGUGUCUGUGCUUUUAAGCACAUUUCUAAGAUGGUUGGAGGGUCCCGGGGCAAUUAUUUCCACUUGCUCCCAUUGCUGCCUCUCUGCAGAGCCUGCAGGUCAGAGGUGCUCUCUCGUCAGUGGGUUCUGCUUUGGUUCAGAUGAGCUUCUCCAGGAGAAGCAUGCUUUUCUCUUGCUGUGUCUGGUCUUCCUUCCAAGUGCUCAGGUCUGUCUGGUCUUAUGACUGUGGAUUUGUGACUGCUUAGGGGUAGGUGACUUCAGCUUCCCAGGUGGCCUCUCUCUGGAUCUGCUUCCUCCCUUCUUUGUCUCUCCAGGCCCCCUUCCAAUCAGCCUCCUCUCCUUCCUUCACGGAUGCCCCAGGAAUGCACACCAAAAGCUUGGGGAUACCUUAUUUCAUAGAUAUGUCUAUAUGCAGUCAAUCCUAAUUAUUUGCAAAUUCUGCAUUUGUGAGUUGGCCUGCUUGCUGAAGUUUAUUUGUAACCCCCAAAUCAAUACUAGCAGUAUUUUCAUGGUCAUUUGCAAAUAUGCACAGAGAAGCAAAAAAUUUGAGUUGCCCAACUUGUAUGCUCCCAGCUGAGGUUGAACAAGGAGAAAUCUGCCUUCUUAUUUCAACUCUCAUACUGCAGACAAGUGUCCUUUUCACAAUCUGUUUAAUGCCAUGCUUCUCACAUUUUUAUGCUUUUUUGGGGGAGAUAUUGUUUAAAAUGUUACCAUGUCUAGUGUUUUUAAGUGCAAAAAGGCUAUGACUUCCCUUAGGGAGAAAAUGCACGUGAUAAAUAAGCUUUGUUCAGGCAUUGGUUAUACUACUGUUGGCUAUGAGUUCAAUGUUAAUGAAUCAACAGUACAUAUUCAAUAAGAUGUCCUUAAGUAGAAGUACACAUAAAACAAGGUUACAUAUUGAUCAGCUGAUGAAAAUGUGACACUCGUAGGAACCUAACUCUGUGUUUCCCCUAAGAGCAAUGGGUCAGUAUUUGCUAAUUCAGACUUCCUGGCAUGCUUAUAGAACAUAACUACCACGAAUAACAAAAACUAUCUGUACCUAUGAAUCUAUAACUAUUUAUAUAUCUGGAAAGAUUUUUUCUUAUUACAAAACUAAGUACGUAUUCAUUGUAGAAAAAGUGAAAACACUCUUUUAAGUUAACCUCAAGUCUCACUUACAUGAAAUGCCUCCAGACCAUUUUUGUGCUUACAGGUCAGUUGUAAUGUAUAUGUUGUUUGAUAACUUCUUUUUCAUAAAAGUUGUCAUGAACACCUCUCUUUGUCAAUAGAUAGCUUUCUAUAGCAUUAUUUUUA